UACGUAGGGGGGCAAGCGUUGUCCGGAAUUACUGGGCGUAAAGAGCUCGUAGGUGGUUUGUCGCGUUGUUCGUGAAAACUCACAGCUCAACUGUGGGCGUGCGGGCGAUACGGGCAGACUGGAGUACUGCAGGGGAGACUGGAAUUCCUGGUGUAGUGGUGGAAUGCGCAGAUAUCAGGAGGAACACCGGUGGCGAAGGCGGGUCUCUGGGCAGUAACUGACGCUGAGGAGCGAAAGCGUGGGGAGCGAACAGG
rnacentral:rRNA from 1 species